ACUUGUUUUCUAAAUAAAGACUAGUAUGAAAGGCACCACGAGACCCAAACUGUCUCCUUUUUCCAAUCAGUGAACCUAAUUUCCCCGUGAAAAAGCAGGGAUAAAACAAUAAGACGAGAAGACCCUAUGGAGCUUUAAACACUAUUACACUUGUUAAACUAAACAUUAUAAAUGUUUUAAAUACACCAUGAUUAUGUGUUUUCAGUUGGGGUGACUACGGAGAAAAUCCCAUCCUCCAUGAUGAUAAGGCCCUACGCCUAAACAACAAGUUACAACUUUAAGUAUCAAUAAAUUGACUCCAUUGACCCAAUACAUUGAUUAACGAACCAAGUUACCCUAGGGAUAACAGCGCAAUCCACUUUGAGAGUCCCUAUCGACAAGUGGGCUUACG
rnacentral:rRNA from 1 species